rnacentral:rRNA from 1 species
GACGAACGCUGGCGGCGUGCCUAAUGCAUGCAAGUCGCACGCACCGAGCUUGCUCGGUGAGUGGCGCACGGCUGAGGAUCACGUGGGAACAUGCCUCCUUGUGGGGGACAACAGCGCGAAAGCGCUGCUAAUCCCGCAUACGCUCGGGCAACCGAGGAAAGCGUGCAAACGCGCAGGGAGAGUGGCCCGCGGCCCAUCAGGUGGUUGGUGGGGCAAUGGCCUACCAAGCCGGUGACGGGUAGCUGGUCUGUGAGGACAGACAGCCAGACUGGGACUGAGACACGGCCCAGACU